UGUUGUUUAUGGUACCACAAACUUGUUGAAUUAAAACUAUAUAAAUUUAUUAUCUAAUAGUUCUGGAGGUCAGAAUUAUUCACAGAGUCUAUGAGACUAAAAUUAAUGCUUUAUAAAGGCCAUGUUUCUUCUGGGGGCUGCAGAGGAGAAUCUGGUUUCUUUCCAUCUAAAUUUAUAGCAGCCACUUGGUUCCUUUGGCUCAUUGCCCUUAUAUCAAAUAACUCUAAUCUCUUCCUUCUGGCUUUGACCUUUGUUGUGGUUAUAUCCAGAUGUACCCCAAGGGCCUCCUGUGCUCAUAAGCAGGAGUUUUGGAAAAUGACUGGAUUAUUCGGGUUUAUAAAGGAUGUGCUGUUAGGAAGUGGGGUUUUGUCAGAAGAUGUGAGUCACUGGGGCUGUGGCCUGCAAGGGUUUAUGUCGUUCCCUGACUCCUCCUUGAUGCUGUCUGCUUUCUGCCUGCCAUGAGGUGAACAACUCUUCUCUGCUACGCCCUUCUGUCUGCCAUCUUGCCUCGGAACAGCUGACUCUGGACUGAAACAUGAGCCGAAGCAAACCUUUUCUCAUUUGAAUUGUGGGUGUCAGGAAAACUGAAGCUUAGAAAUAUAGUGACUUCCUCAUGGCAUUGCUGCUCCUGGAUAUGAUCCUUUAUUUGCAUGAUCCCGUUCCAGCAGCCUGAGAAGAGACAUGGCAUCUCGGUUUUUUUUGAUGUGAUAUUUGCACAGGAUACUGCAUAAGGAAGCAUAUCACAAAAGUCAUACAUACAUGAA